GGGGGUGUAGCUCAGUGGUAGAGCACUGGUCCAGCAUGUGUGAGGCCCUGGGUACAAUCCCAGCAACCCCC
rnacentral:tRNA from 1 species